CAACAGCACAGUUUGAUUUCAAAAGAAAAUCCUAUAAAGAGAGAGAGAGAGAGAGAGUGGAGCGGAGUAUGGAAUCUGCCCGGUGGUAGCUCUCUGGUGCACGUCUAAAGCCUGGGGGCGCAAAACAUUGAAAAUGUGAGUAGACCAAAAUUUUUUUUAGAGAAAUACAUAGGAACAUACUAACCCCACUGUAAAAACAGUUAUGCAAAACUAAAUCAUUCUCUUCAUUAUACUCG
rnacentral:lncRNA from 1 species